GACGAACGCUGGCGGCGUGCUUAACACAUGCAAGUCGAACGAAAAGGCCCUGCUUUUGUGGGGUGCUCGAUUGGCGAACGGGUGAGUAACACGUGAGUAACCUGCCCUUGACUUUGGGAUAACUUCAGGGAACUGGGGAGAAUACCGGAGAGGAUCUCCUGCUGCAUGUGGGUGGUUGGAGAAUUUCGGCGGUUGGGGAUGGACUCGCGGCUUAUCAGCUUGUUGGUGAGGUUGUGGCUUACCAAGGAUUUGACGGGUAGCCGGCCUGAGAGGGUGACCGGCCACAUUGGGACUGAGAUACGGCCCAGACUCCUACGGGAGGCAGCAGUGGGGAAUAUUGCACAAUGGGCGGAAGCCUGAUGCAGCAACGCCGCGUGCGGGAUGACGGCCUUCGGGUUGUAAACCGCUUUCGCCUGUGACGAAGCGUGAGUGACGGUAAUGGGUAAAGAAGCACCGGCUAACUACGUG
rnacentral:rRNA from 1 species